rnacentral:rRNA from 1 species
UUCCUACGGGGGGCAGCAGUUUCGAAUCAUUCACAAUGGGCGAAAGCCUGAUGGUGCGACGCCGCGUGAGGGAUGAAGGUCUUCGGAUUGUAAACCUCUGUCACUAGGGAAGAAAAACCAGCCGUUAAUAGCGUCUGGUCUGACUUAACCUGGAGAGGAAGCAGUGGCUAACUCUGUGCCAGCAGCCGCGGUAAUACAGAGACUGCAAGCGUUAUUCGGAUUCACUGGGCGUAAAGGGUGCGCAGGCGGCCGGGUGUGUUAGGUGUGAAAGCCCGAGGCUCAACCUCGGAAUUGCGCCUAAAACUACACGGCUAGAGUAUUGGAGAGGGUAGCGGAAUUCACGGUGUAGCAGUGAAAUGCGUAGAUAUCGUGAGGAACACCAGAGGCGAAGGCGGCUACCUGGACAAUUACUGACGCUCAGGCACGAAAGCGUGGGGAGCAAAAGGGAUUAGAUACCCCUGUAGUC